rnacentral:rRNA from 1 species
UACAGAGGGGGCAAGCGUUAUUCGGAAUUAUUGGGCGUAAAGGGCGCGUAGGCGGCCUGGCAAGUGGAAGGUGAAAUCCCUCGGCUUAACCGAGGAACUGCCCUCCAAACUGCUUGGCUUGAGUCCGGGAGAGGUGAGUGGAAUUCCCAGUUUAGCGGUGAAAUGCGCAGAUAUCGGGAAGAACACCCGUGGCGAAGGCGGCACUCUGGGACGGUACUGACGCUGAGACGCGAAAGCGUGGGGAGCGAACAGG